UGCUUGUCUCUGUCUCCCAGCACUAUUACAGAUGUGCUCACAGGUGCACCAGGAUGUGCUUGUCUCUGUCUCCCAGCACUAUUACAGAUGUGCUCACAGGUGCACCAGGAUGUGCUUGUCUCUGUCUCCCAGCACUAUUACAGAUGUGCUCACAGGUGCUCCAGGAUGUGCUUGUCUCUGUCUCCCAGCACUAUUACAGAUGUGCU